UUUAUGGAGAGUUUGAUCCUGGCUCAGGAUGAACGCUGGCGGCGUGCCUAAUACAUGCAAGUCGAGCGAACAGACGAGGAGCUUGCUCCUCUGACGUUAGCGGCGGACGGGUGAGUAACACGUGGAUAACCUACCUAUUAGCG
rnacentral:rRNA from 1 species